GUCGAGCGACAGAUAAGGAGCUUGCGUCCUUUGACGUUAGCGGCGGACGGGUGAGUAACACGUGGGUAACCUACCUAUAAGACUGGGAUAACUUCGGGAAACCGGAGCUAAUACCGGAUAACAUUUGGAACCGCAUGGUUCUAAAGUGAAAGAUGGUUUUGCUAUCACUUAUAGAUGGACCCGCGCCGUAUUAGCUAGUUGGUAAGGUAACGGCUUACCAAGGCGACGAUACGUAGCCGACCUGAGAGGGUGAUCGGCCACACUGGAACUGAGACACGGUCCAGACUCCUACGGGAGGCAGCAGUAGGGAAUCUUCCGCAAUGGGCGAAAGCCUGACGGAGCAACGCCGCGUGAGUGAUGAAGGGUUUCGGCUCGUAAAACUCUGUUAUUAGGGAAGAACAAAUGUGUAAGUAACUGUGCACGUCUUGACGGUACCUAAUCAGAAAGCCACGGCUAACUACGUGCCAGCAGCCGCGGUAAUACGUAGGUGGCAAGCGUUAUCCGGAAUUAUUGGGCGUAAAGCGCGCGUAGGCGGUUUCUUAAGUCUGAUGUGAAAGCCCACGGCUCAACCGUGGAGGGUCAUUGGAAACUGGGAAACUUGAGUGCAGAAGAGGAAAGUGGAAUUCCAUGUGUAGCGGUGAAAUGCGCAGAGAUAUGGAGGAACACCAGUGGCGAAGGCGACUUUCUGGUCUGUAACUGACGCUGAUGUGCGAAAGCGUGGGGAUCAAACAGGAUUAGAUACCCUGGUAGUCCACGCCGUAAACGAUGAGUGCUAAGUGUUAGGGGGUUUCCGCCCCUUAGUGCUGCAGCUAACGCAUUAAGCACUCCGCCUGGGGAGUACGACCGCAAGGUUGAAACUCAAAGGAAUUGACGGGGACCCGCACAAGCGGUGGAGCAUGUGGUUUAAUUCGAAGCAACGCGAAGAACCUUACCAAAUCUUGACAUCCUUUGAAAACUCUAGAGAUAGAGCCUUCCCCUUCGGGGGACAAAGUGACAGGUGGUGCAUGGUUGUCGUCAGCUCGUGUCGUGAGAUGUUGGGUUAAGUCCCGCAACGAGCGCAACCCUUAAGCUUAGUUGCCAUCAUUAAGUUGGGCACUCUAGGUUGACUGCCGGUGACAAACCGGAGGAAGGUGGGGAUGACGUCAAAUCAUCAUGCCCCUUAUGAUUUGGGCUACACACGUGCUACAAUGGACAAUACAAAGGGCAGCUAAACCGCGAGGUCAUGCAAAUCCCAUAAAGUUGUUCUCAGUUCGGAUUGUAGUCUGCAACUCGACUACAUGAAGCUGGAAUCGCUAGUAAUCGUAGAUCAGCAUGCUACGGUGAAUACGUUCCCGGGUCUUGUACACACCGCCCGUCACACCACGAGAGUUUGUAACACCCGAA
rnacentral:rRNA from 1 species